UACGGAGGGUGCAAGCGUUAUCCGGAUUUACUGGGCGUAAAGGGCGCGUAGGCGGACAGUUUAGUCAGAGGUGAAAGCCCAGGGCUCAACCUUGGAAUUGCCUUUGAUACUGGCUGUCUUGAGUUCGGGAGAGGUGAGUGGAAUGCCGAGUGUAGAGGUGAAAUUCGUAGAUAUUCGGCGGAACACCAGUGGCGAAGGCGACUCACUGGCCCGAUACUGACGCUGAGGCGCGAAAGCGUGGGGAGCAAACAGG
rnacentral:rRNA from 1 species